rnacentral:rRNA from 1 species
CCUACGGGAGGCUGCAGUGAGGAAUAUUGGUCAAUGGACGCAAGUCUGAACCAGCCAAGUAGCGUGCAGGAUGACGGCCCUCCGGGUUGUAAACUGCUUUUAGUUGGGAAUAAAAGGGGGCUCGUGAGCCCCGUAUUGUAUGUACCAUCAGAAAAAGGACCGGCUAAUUCCGUGCCAGCGGCCGCGGUAAUACGGAAGGCCCGGGCGUUAUCCGGAUUUUUUGGGUUUAAGGGGUCGCAGGCGGAAGAUCAAGUCAGCGGUAAAAGUGAGAGGCUCAACCUCUUCGAGCCGUUGAAACUGGUAUUCUUGAGUGAGCGAGAAGUAUGCGGAAUGCGUGGUGUAGCGGUGAAAUGCAUAGAUAUCGCGCAGAACUCCGAUUGCGAAGGCAGCAUACCGGCGCUCAACUGACGCUCAUGCACGAAAGUGUGGGUAUCGAACAGGAUUAGAUACCCGUGUAGUC